rnacentral:rRNA from 1 species
AUUGAACGCUGGCGGCAGGCCUAACACAUGCAAGUCGAGCGAGCGGCGGACGGGUGAGUAAUGUAUGGGGACUGCCCGAUAGAGGGGGAUAACUACUGGAAACGGUGGCUAAUACCGCAUACUGUCGAAUAACCCAUAUGGGAUUAGCUAGUAGGUAAGGGAAUGGCUUACCUAGGCGACGAUCCCUAGCUGGUCUGGGAGGAUGAUCAGCCACACUGGGACGGAGACACGGCCCAGACUCCUACGGAGGCAGCAGUGGGGAAUAUUGCACAAGGGGCGCAAGCCGGAUGCAGCAAUGCCGGGUGUAUGAAGAGGGCCCUAGGGUUGUAAGGUACUUUCAGUCGGGAGGCGUUACCGACAGAAGAAGCACCGGCUAACUCCGUGCCAGCAGCCGCGGUAAUAC